CCCGAUCUGCUGUGUAUCGGCGGUAGCAGCGGCGGCGCUUCCUCUCCCCCGUCCCAGCCACCCCUCCCCGGCGAGCUUGUGCUCUUCUCUCGGCGUCGCCGGCGUGCUCGCCCUCCACUGGGUCUCUGGUCUGUGGGUGACAUGCGGCGGCCUUGGCCUUGGACCCGGGCACUAUGACAUUGUCAAGCAGUCUUGAAAUCGGCUUCACUGCCUCAGGGUUGAAGAACAUUGCUGAUCUGAUGAGGCAUUCACACAGUGGCACAGAGGAUGUGAUGUGAGGAAAAACGACGAAUUACGAUAUCCCUCCCAGUGCGUGAAUAUGAUCAACUCAAGAGUAAACGAACUUACACUGUCAUGUCUGGAUCUCUUAUCCACGACCACGCGUGUUGAACCUUAUUUUUUCUUAACGCAGAGCUUUGAACCUCCUUCUCAUCUGUAUUUGCCAGACUCUGCGAGUUCCUCAGGAAGAUCCUCUCCUGCCGAGCAUUAUUCCGUGCCAUCUCAUCCUCCUAAUGCAUGUGUUAACAAGGGUCCGUAUUCAACCGUUCGUGGAUGAAGUACUCCAGCGCUGCUGAUAUCUUCUCCAUGAAUUCCGUCCCUGGCAUCUUGACAACAGGAUUCUGAAGCUCGUACGUAUCUCGGGGCAUCACCUCUUUCCCCUGAGCUCUGAAUAUCUCCGUCAAGAGGAUCGCUUCAGCCUCCUGUUUUGAAGUACCUCUGUCGCAGCUUGGUCAUCUUGGACAUAGGGGCGACACCAUCUGCGGUUGGAAUUUGUAGGUGGAUGAUGCAUAUCAUGGGAAAGAGGAAUCAAGAGAAGUCAUUUGUGUAUCCAGUGAUCGAUCCAUGUAUAUAGUACUAUGCACGGACCUACU